rnacentral:rRNA from 4 species
ACCGCAUGGUUCAAAAGUGAAAGACGGUCUUGCUGUCACUUAUAGAUGGAUCCGCGCUGCAUUAGCUAGUUGGUAAGGUAACGGCUUACCAAGGCAACGAUGCAUAGCCGACCUGAGAGGGUGAUCGGCCACACUGGAACUGAGACACGGUCCAGACUCCUACGGGAGGCAGCAGUAGGGAAUCUUCCGCAAUGGGCGAAAGCCUGACGGAGCAACGCCGCGUGAGUGAUGAAGGUCUUCGGAUCGUAAAACUCUGUUAUUAGGGAAGAACAUAUGUGUAAGUAACUGUGCACAUCUUGACGGUACCUAAUCAGAAAGCCACGGCUAACUACGUGCCAGCAGCCGCGGUAAUACGUAGGUGGCAAGCGUUAUCCGGAAUUAUUGGGCGUAAAGCGCGCGUAGGCGGUUUUUUAAGUCUGAUGUGAAAGCCCACGGCUCAACCGUGGAGGGUCAUUGGAAACUGGAAAACUUGAGUGCAGAAGAGGAAAGUGGAAUUCCAUGUGUAGCGGUGAAAUGCGCAGAGAUAUGGAGGAACACCAGUGGCGAAGGCGACUUUCUGGUCUGUAACUGACGCUGAUGUGCGAAAGCGUGGGGAUCAAACAGGAUUAGAUACCCUGGUAGUCCACGCCGUAAACGAUGAGUGCUAAGUGUUAGGGGGUUUCCGCCCCUUAGUGCUGCAGCUAACGCAUUAAGCACUCCGCCUGGGGAGUACGACCGCAAGGUUGAAACUCAAAGGAAUUGACGGGGACCCGCACAAGCGGUGGAGCAUGUGGUUUAAUUCGAAGCAACGCGAAGAACCUUACCAAAUCUUGACAUCCUUUGACAACUCUAGAGAUAGAGCCUUCCCCUUCGGGGGACAAAGUGACAGGUGGUGCAUGGUUGUCGUCAGCUCGUGUCGUGAGAUGUUGGGUUAAGUCCCGCAACGAGCGCAACCCUUAAGCUUAGUUGCCAUCAUUAAGUUGGGCACUCUAAGUUGACUGCCGGUGACAAACCGGAGGAAGGUGGGGAUGACGUCAAAUCAUCAUGCCCCUUAUGAUUUGGGCUACACACGUGCUACAAUGGACAAUACAAAGGGCAGCGAAACCGCGAGGUCAAGCAAAUCCCAUAAAGUUGUUCUCAGUUCGGAUUGUAGUCUGCAACUCGACUACAUGAAGCUGGAAUCGCUAGUAAUCGUAGAUCAGCAUGCUACGGUGAAUACGUUCCCGGGUCUUGUACACACCGCCCGUCACACCACGAGAGUUUGUAACACCCGAAGCCGGUGGAGUAACCUUUUAGGAGCUAGCCGUCGAAGGUGGGACAAAUGAUUGGGGUGAAGUCGUAACAAGGUAGCCGUAUCGGAAGGUGCGGCUGGAUCACCU